UACGGAGGGUGCGAGCGUCGUCCGGAAUCAUUGGGCGUAAAGGGCGCGUAGGUGGCGGGACAAGCGUGCGGUGAAAGCCUGGGGCUCAACCCCGGGUCGGCCGUGCGAACUGUUUUGCUUGAGCACUGUAGAGGCAGGCGGAAUUCCGGGUGUAGCGGUGGAAUGCGUAGAGAUCCGGAAGAACACCGGUGGCGAAGGCGGCCUGCUGGGCAGUAGCUGACACUGAGGCGCGACAGCGUGGGGAGCAAACAGG
rnacentral:rRNA from 1 species